rnacentral:rRNA from 1 species
GAUGAACGCUGGCGGCGUGCUUAACACAUGCAAGUCGAACGGGAUCCAAGUGGUUCUUGCACUUUUUGGUGAGAGUGGCGAGCGGGUGAGUAACACGUGAGUAACCUGUCCUUUUCUGUUGGAUAAGCAUUCGAAAGGGUGUUUAAUACUUUAUGUUCUUUCUGCCUCGCAUGGGGUGGGUGGUAAAGGCUUUUGCCGGUUUUGGGUGGGCUCGCGAGCUAUCAGCUUGUUGGGGGGGUGAUGGCUUACCCAGGCGUUGACGGGUAGCCGGGGUUAGCGGGUGGGAGGUGACAUUGGGCCUGAGAGACGCUACAGAAUGCUCCGGGAGGCAGCAGUGGGGGAUAGUGCAGAAUGGGGGAAAGCCUGAUGAAGCGACGUGGAGUGGGGGAUGAAGGGCUUCGGGGUGUAAACUUCUUUUGCUCUGAGUAAGGCAUGCCAGUGGGUGUGUGGAGGGUAGGGGUAGAUUAGCGCCGGCUAACUACGUG